UAUAGGGGGCAUGUUGGUGUGUGGGUGGAUGUUUUCAGAUAGUUACGGAGAGGCUGUUUGCUCGGCUCAUGGUCCCUUGCUGCGUAACAGACACAGGAGGAAUGUUCCCGCCUGGCUUCCAUGCCUGCCUGGAAGAGAAACAUCAUGAAGAAAAAGAUGGAAGAUGAGAAGGAGCACAAAAGAAAAGAAGAGGAGAACCGGAGGAUGAAGAAGGAAAACAUGGA